UUCCCGUCUUCCUAAAUCUCUCUCUCUCUCGGACACAGGUCGGCAGGUGCGCACGGCGAGGCGUUGGUGGCGAGCGGCGAACGCCGACAUGGAGGGGCGGGCGGCAGAUGGUGGCGCACGGGGCGGGCCCCGCUGCCCUCCCGCGCGGCGUCGCCGACUUUGCCCUUCCGCUCCGAGAGCAGAGGAGGAGGUAGUGCGAGCGGCCGGCGGGGGAGGCGGGCUUGCUCGGGCGCCGGUGGCGCGCUCGUGUAGCCGGCAGCGGAGGCGGACGUGAAGGCGGGUAGCGGCGCGCGGGGACGGGCCAACAGUCGGCGCGCACGACGGCAGACAUGGCGGAGAGACGGAAGUGUCGGCGAGGCGGGCGUGGCGGAGAGGCGGGUGGCGGUGUCCACUCGAUGGGGAAGAGCGGCUCGUGCAACACCCCGCGCACGUCGCCGGCGCCUCCUCUCUCGCCGCUCUCCACCCCUGAGCCAAAGAAACCGAGAGGGAGAGCUCCAUCGUGUCCUCCUCGCCUUCCACUCCAUCGUCGGCCGCCGAGAAGGAUGCAUUGCCGAUUGUCGUCAAGCCGCGCUCGCCAUUAUCUCUUUCCUGUUCCAUAUUCUACUCACCAUUCCGAAGAUUUCUCCUUUUGAUUUCAUCCUCUAUCGUGCAGCAAAUCAAUGGGAACGCCACUGUGUCAUCGCCGGCCUUGGGACGUGCUCUGCGCGACGUCGUCGUGAUCUCAUCGCCGUUCCCGUCGUUCUGGACCAAGUCAAGCCGAGCCACCACGCCACUAGUAUCCCCACACCAUCACGACCAAAACCCCUCAAGAACCGUGGAGAAUGAAGCAUCAUGGACGGAGAUCGGCAUCAUCUUCUCCAACUCUGACUGCCGGCUACCAUCGUUGAUUCCGCCUCCUCUGAUCUUGGAGCCGUUUGAGCUGUCACCGUCAUCCCGGAGGUUCUUACCGCCGCCGCCAAUGUCCAUCCAUCGCCAAGUCCUCGUCGGGCCUCUCCAAGCCACAGUCAAUCUUCAGUGAGCCUCCUGAUGAAACCUAUACCAAGCAGUACGUAUUGAAAAGGACAUCGAUCGAUGGAUCAAACAGUUGGAACAUGCAUGCUACUAACAUUCAGGAAAGUCAGAACGUCUAGAAGCGAAGAAGCGAAGAGAUCGAGAUCGUUGGCGAGCGGAAAAAACAAUUCAAUUAAUGGUGAAGGAAUUAAUGUGACACUGACACACGUCAUGUAGGAUAUGUUAGUUCUCAUCUUCUAGA